AUGGAUAAGUUGGAAGAUAGGAUAACCUUCGGUCCAGAAAUGCUCUCAGAAAUGGAGGAGCAAGUUAAGCUGAUCAGAAAAAGGUUAGCAGAAGCUAACGAUCAACAUAAAAUCUAUGUAGAUGCAAAGUGUACUCCCAGGCAGUUUGUAGUGGGAGAGAAAGUGCUUCUAUGGGUACAGGACUCAGGGGUGGUCAUGAUUGAGCUAAUAAGGGUGCUUGAGUUUUUGUUUAAAAAUGCAACUGUAAGUAGCAGAAAAUUUGCAGUGGAUGCAAUGAGAUUUCUUAUGAAGGUAAAGACAGUGGAUGCAACUUUUAGUAUGUUCAAAAACUUGUCAUCACAGAUGGGCUUUGAAAAGCUUCCUGGGUUGAUUGAACAUUUGGUGCAAAAUUACCCUGAAGUACGACGCGUUUCAGAUUCGGAUUCAAUCUGGAAUCCCUGUGGAAUUGGACAGGGUUCCUGCAUUUUGCUGCAUAUUUCGUUUGUCUUUGGCGAAGAGCAAGAGGCACAACGCAGACAGAGAAAAGGGCGCGCACGACGCAGGGCGAACAACCGACCUUCCAUUCCUUCAACAGUUCGUUCCUUCCUCAGGCGACGGCAACGGCACGCAGUGCGCAAAGGAGCGACGACACCAGCAAAAACAAUUACUUACUUGGAUGAUGAGGACCCAAUGAAAGUAUUUGUAGAGACAAUUUCUGUCAAUUUGAAUGGAUCCUAUUACAUGUCAGAAUGUGUACUGCCAUACAUGCCUCCUGGUCUGUCUAGUAUAAUUAACAUCUCAAGCACAUGAGUUUUGCAAAGUGAACGAAACACUGCAGCAUAUAGUGCUUGAAAAGCAGGCUUAUGUGGCCUUACCCAUUCACAGGCAAUAACCUUAGCAGGAAGAGUACGUGUGAAUGCUGUGUUGCCUAAAUACCGAUCCUGCUGGUGAGGCAGCAUUGAGAGCUGAGGAUCAUAAUUGGCAUCCAGUUGGCAGGGUAGGAAUACCGCAAGACAUUGCUGAAAUAUGCCUGUUCUUGUCUGAUGAGAAACGGUCUGGAUUUAUUACAGGGCAGGAAUUUGUAGUGGAUGGCGGGGUGACUAAGAAAAUGGUUUAUCCCGACUAAUCUUAUUUUCAGAGCUAGUAUGAAUGGCCUUGAUUUAAUUAUCAUUACUUAUAGAGGUCAUUAAAAAGUUAUCUACUUCAGGCCUUUGGUUUCUUGUUCAACCUUCAGUUGAAAACCAAGACGAUGAUAAAUAGUAGCACACAAAAGUAAUGUUAUAGGAGAAUUCAUGAGAUAAUCUUCAUUUUUAACCUGUUCGUGGGUUAACAUGCAAUUUUAGCCUGCACCUUGGCAAUUGUUUGUUCAAUGCCAAAAGCCGUGUUUGCCUUUAAUUAUGACACAAUAAAUAUAUUUCUAUUUGCUAGAUCAUUAUAGAUAAGGGAAGGUUUUUAUAAUAGUAUCUGGCAUGUGGAAUACCUUGGAAGUAGUA